rnacentral:lncRNA from 1 species
AUGAUUCGAUCAACUGGGUUAACGAUUCGUAUACAAAACUGAAGAUGUAAAUUGGAAGGAGAAGUGUAUUUUCGGUGUGUUUUAUACUUUCCUUGCUUUUGAAAUGUCGUCGUCACUUGACACGUCCUCCUUCUACACUCAAUCGCCAGUUGUUUAUAGCCCUUUUCUCAAACUUGAACCCUAAUUCAAACAAGAAUCAAGUCAUACUAUCAAGAAGAUGAUGAAAUGGAAGAUAUAUAUGAUGAUAAUAUGGAUUAUGAGAUUUGGGUCAGAGGUAUUGGUUCAGACACGCUGAUUGUGAAGAGUAUGAUUUCAUGGUUUGUUGCAAUGCACUUACAACUUA